rnacentral:lncRNA from 1 species
AUAUAGACAAAGGAUGGAAAGAGAGAAGGGGGAGAAAAACGUGAGUGGAAGGAGAAGGGCAGCUAUUCCGGCAAGGCGACGAAACUCCGACGAGAGACCAUUUGGGAAACGAGCGAGGAGGUGCCGAGGUGGUUGGAAAGCUUGAUGUUGACUGUGUAGAAAGAUCUCAAAAACAAAACGAGGUAUGGGAUUUCUUAGCGAAUGAUAGUUGUAGAUUGUGUAUAUCCAUGUGAUCAACGUCGUGUCUCUUGAGUGAUUCCUUCAUAAAGUUGUGUUGGAUUUUUAUGAGGAUGUGUUCUUGCCCCUCUUAACGUUGAGAAUGAGGGUGCGAUCGUAUACACAUACUCAACCAAGAGUAUGCCAAUUUGAAUAGUCAUAUGUAUUGUUUUUUUCAUUUAUUUUGGGGAUUGUGAUUUCAUUGGAUGCCUUAAUGAUGCAGGGUAGUAUUAUUUUGGAUAAGUACCCUGAAUGGUGAUUUUCUGAGCGGAGUUGGGGAAGGUAUCAGUCCCGUAUGUUGUCUUAUUAUUAUGAUUAUGUUCUGAGUAUUUUUGGGGACUGGUCUGAUUAAAAUCUAGCUAUGUUGCGUUGGAAACAUAUUGCAUCUAGUGAAGAGUAGUCAAACAGUAGAGGUGCUGAAGUUUUGAAAUAAAAUUGGGUGGUGUUGGGAGUAUCAGAUUGGGUUGGAAUUAAAUAAUAGAUUUUAUUUUGUUAAUUCAGAUACAGAAAUUUUAUACACCAGAUUUUAUUACUGAUUGAAAACACUAGGUGCUGAACAUUGGAAGUGAUAUAGGGUGGAGGGAUACCCUGCUUUCACGUUUGGUUUUUGUUCCUUUCUUUCUAUUGAUUAAAUUAUCUGAUGACAUGUUUCCCCUCCAGUUCUAUGAACGAUUUUUCUUCUCAAGGAUUGGGUUGGGUAUUGACCACAGUAUGCAAGUAUAAAUAGUGUGUAUGUUCAGAUGGAUGGAGGUCUAAUUUAUGUUUAUACUUCCUGAUUUUCCAGAUUUGGGUAUCCUCCAUAUUUUCCAGAUUUUUAUAUUUCCCAGAUUUUGGUAUUUCCAGAUUUUUCAGAUUUUGAUAUUUUCAGAUUUGGAUGGCUAAUUCUAAACAAAUCCAGAUCCUUACAUCUGCAGAUUUGUUGAUUUCCUUUUCGUGUUGUUGACGUGAUCAUUGAUUUUAUGCGAUUCCAGAUUUUUCGUUUAAAAUAUUGGUUUAAAUUGCAGGAUGCAGAUUUCGCAGAAUUUAAUAGAUUUUGCCGAAUUUCAGAAUUUGAUUUGAGCUACAGAAUUGUAGUUUUGAAUUUGGGUAUAAUUUAGUUUUCAGAUUAGCUUUCAGAAUCCAGAUUCUCCCUUCAUUGUUUUACCCGAUAUUAGAAUUUGCAGGGUGAUUCGUAUGACUUUUAUCGCUCUCUUAUCCCAUCGUCACUUAGACAUAAGUUAUUUAGCUUGAUUUGCCAAUUAUCUCCAUUCCGCACUAUGAUUUCCAGCAUUUGUACUUUUUCAGAUUUUUAACCGAUAAUUAAAAUCUCAGAUUGGUCUACAAUCAUUAUCAUGAUGUUAAUUGAAUUGUGAAUUUAUAAGUGAAAUCUUGUGAUGGGUAAGUGAAGUGUUAUUGAGUGAGUGAAGUGAGUGUGGGAUGAUCCUAAUUACCAGUGCAUAAUGAGUGUUAUAGGAUGACAAAACUAUAUGUGAAGUGAUAUCAUAUAGUGAAAAAGUAUUAUGAUUUUAUCUUGAUAUUGGUGAUUUUGAUUGUUUUACUAUGUGAUGUGACUGAUCUGUAGGGAAAACCAUACUGAGUCGCGAUAUAGUGACUCAUCCCUAUUUUGAUUUGUAAUGUGGUAAGAUGGAAGUAAACGGAACGGGACGCGAGCGAGGACGGGAUGGGGCACCUCGGAGUUUCCAAUCAUUAAAUUAGAUCUUAAGCAAUGUUGUUAGAAAAACCCUAUUUUAGUUACAUUUGAAAUUCUAGUUUUGUUGGUUAUUUUAUUAUGAGAUUAUUAGACUCGUAAAUUCCUGUUGUUGUCAAAUUUACUAUCAGAUUGUUAACAUAUUUUAGUAGAAUGUUACAACUUUGG